UACGUAGGGGGCUAGCGUUGUCCGGAAUCAUUGGGCGUAAAGAGCUCGUAGGUGGCUGAGUAAGUCGGAUGUGAAAUCUCCAGGCUCAACCUGGAGGGGUCAUUCGAUACUGCCGUGACUAGAGUUCGGUAGGGGAGUGUGGAAUUCCUGGUGGAGCGGUGAAAUGCGCAGAUAUCAGGAGGAACACCCGUAGCGAAGGCGGCACUCUGGGCCGAUACUGACACUGAGGAGCGAAAGCGUGGGGAGCGAACAGG
rnacentral:rRNA from 1 species